rnacentral:rRNA from 1 species
UACGUAGGGUGCGAGCGUUGUCCGGAAUUAUUGGGCGUAAAGAGCUUGUAGGCGGUUUGUCGCGUCUGCUGUGAAAAUCCGGGGCUCAACCCCGGACUUGCAGUGGGUACGGGCAGACUAGAGUGUGGUAGGGGAGACUGGAAUUCCUGGUGUAGCGGUGGAAUGCGCAGAUAUCAGGAGGAACACCGAUGGCGAAGGCAGGUCUCUGGGCCACUACUGACGCUGUAGAGCGAAAGCGUGGGGAGCGAACAGG